GAAGAAAACAAAGCUGCAUUUUGCGAUGGAUUUCCUAUAGAAUUCUAUCAAGUCUGCUGGAGUUUUAUCAAGUAUGAUGUCAUGAUGUGCUUCCAUGACUUAUGUGAAGGAAGGUUGGAAUUGUCUAGAAUCAAUUUUGGAAUCAUUGCAUUGUUACCUAAGGGGGCUAAGGCAGAUACCAUACAAAAAUCCAGAUCAAUCUGUCUCCUGUGUUAUUUCAAGAUGUUCCCAAAAGCUCUAGAUGAAAGGUUGAAACCUUUCAUGGAAAAAAUGAUAUCCAGGAGCCAAAAUGCUUUCAUAAAAGGAAGAAAUAUUAUGGAUGGAGUGAUGCCUUUGCAUGAGAUAUUGUAUGAUGCAAAAGUAAAGAAACAACAAGGUGUAGUGUUAAAACUAGAUUUUGAGAAGGCCUAUGUAAAGGUUAACUCGGAGUUCGUGUUCCAAACAUUGGUACAACGAGCUGCUAUACAAACGUUUUUUAACCCCUUUCCGCUCGGCAUUUUAAACUGUCGCCUUGUGAGUGUGGGUGAUAGGAGGGUCUUUCCCACACGACCCAGAUACCGUCGGGGAUAG
rnacentral:rRNA from 1 species